UAGAGCAGAGGACUGAAAAUCCUCGUGUCGGUGGUUCAAUUCCGCCUCUGGGCACCA
rnacentral:tRNA from 1 species